AACGCAAAUGUAGCAUUAAUGCAUUCUUGAUUUUAGUUUUUGAUGUUUACAUACAUCACACAAGAGCUUAAGCUUGCUUACAGCAAGUGAUAUACCAACACUUCGUAUACUUGAAAUGACUAUUGGCAGGAAAGCAAGUGCCUUAAGUUGAGUAAUGAUUAUAACAUGUCUUCCCAUUUAUGGGAUACAGAGCUCGUCUUCUCUACAAACUUGGAGCGGCAACAGGUUGUACGAAUUCUCAGAACUUUUCAAGGGUUUUCCACUAACUCCACCUAACUGCAACAAAGGCAAUCUAGUACAUUGCAAUGCUUGCAUCCAACUAUCUGACGAUGAUGAGAUCUGCAUGAUGCCGAACACAGAGACACAAAUGUCGUAUCCUGAGAGAUGGCAUCAUUAUGCACAAUUUUCAGCUAAGUACUGGUAUUUUGUACUGUAAAAGUAAAAAUUAAACCCCUCAAUUUAUACUUUGGUAGAAGUCAAUGUAUCGCGUAAAUAUUUUACUCGAGGAAAAAGUAAAAGUAUUGCUGUAAAGCUAUAAAUUUACGUAAGUAAAGGUAUCUUGUUAAAGCUAAUAAGUAGAAGUUUUUCAAAGCACCACAAAAGACGCUUCUCGCAGUUUUUCAUAACAGAUAUCAAUAUAUUUCGUAUGUCAUCUGUAGGACUGUUCAAUAUGGCGGCUUUCCGGCUUCAAAUUCAAUCAGCGAUGCGCGAUAGAUGAAUGUGAAAAAGUGUAAAUUUAAAUGUGAAUUUAAUCAAACGCAGAAAACGAAUGAAUUUAUUUCGCUUUUGAAUAUUGUACGAAAUACAAAUAUUACUGGAAACUUCCAAUUCUAAAUCGGGUGAAAUAUGA